AGUUCGGAUCAUGGCUCAGAUUGAACGCUUGCGAUGCUUUACACAUGCAAGUCGAACGGCAGCACGGACUUCGGUCUGUGGCGGAGUGGCGAACGGGUGAGUAGUCGCAACGGGAACGCGCCUAGUAGCGGGGAUAACUACAGCGAAAGGGGUAGUAGCCACACCGCAUACGCUCUCGGGGGAAAGCGGGGACCUCGGGCUCGCACCAUUAGAGCGGCCGAUAUCGGAUUAGCCAGUUAUGGGGUAACGGCUACUGUUGGCGACACGAUCCGCAGAAGUUGGUCGAGGAGGAUGACCAGCCGCCACCUGGGACUGAGAUACUUGCCCAGACUCCCAUGGGAGGCAGUGCGGGGGAGUUCUGACAAUGAAACCGAUCCAAUAUCCCGCGUGGGUGAUUAAUGCUUAGAAGGUGGAAGCACUUCGGCAGGAGAACGGCGCACGCGGAUAAUACCCCAGUGUGCAACUGAUUGUACCAGAAGAAUAAAGCACCGAUAUCGAUGCGCUAAAAAGCGAAACAGUGGUAUCAUCGUGCAGGCGGGCAGCAUCGAAUAUUAUGGGGCGGUGCAGGCGGUCUGGAAAGAAAGAUGAACCCCAGAGCUUAACUUUGGGAACUGCAUUUUUAACUACUGAGCUAGAUGUCAGGAGGGAGUGUGAAUUCCGCGUAGCAGUGAAAUGCGCAGAUAUGCGGAGGAACACCUGAUGGCGAAGGCGGCUCCUGGGGAUAACACUGACGCUCAUGCACGAAAAAGCGUGGGGAGCAAAACAGGAUUAUUACCCUGCAUCAAUGCCCUAAACGAUGUCAACUAGCUGCUGGGGCCUUCGGGCCUGUAGCGCAGUUGACUGGCAAGUGAAGCUGACUGCCCGGGAGUACUUGGUCGGCAGAUUAAAACCAAAGGAAUUGACGGGGACCUCCGCACAAGCGGUGGAUGAUGUGGAUUAAUUCGAUGUAAACGCGAAAACCUUACCUACCCUUGACAUGUCUGAAAAUCUCAGAAGAGAUUUAAGAGUGCCGCAAGAGAACCGGAACACAGGUGUCAUGCUAAGCCGUCAGCUCGUCGUGAGAUGUUGGGUUAAGUCUCGCAACGAGCGCAACCCUUGGUCAUUAGUUGCUGCUGGCGAAAGGGAAUUUCAUCGAGAUUCGUUAUGACAAACCGGAGGAAGGUGGGGAUGACGUUAAGUCCCUAUGCGGCCUGGCGGGUAGGGCUUCACACGCUGCUACACGGUCGGGACAGAGUGGUUUCAACCCGAGGGGGGAGUUAAUCCCAGAAACUCGAUCAGUCCGGGAUCGCAGUUCGCAACCUGACUGCGUGUGCAAGUCGGAAUCGCCAGAGACCAGUGGAUCAAAGCAACAUACAUAUAACACGUUCCCGGUCUGGUAUUAUUAUCGCCCGUCACGACCGAUGCAGAUGGGUUUCACCAGAAGUAGCGGCUCAACCCGCAUGAUGAAGGAUACUACGGUAGGAUUCAUGACUGGAAGUGUGAAGUCGUAUCAAAGGUAG
rnacentral:rRNA from 1 species